rfam:Felis catus isolate Cinnamon breed Abyssinian chromosome E2, whole genome shotgun sequence.
GCCUGGGUGGCUCAGUCGGUUAAGCAUCCGACUUUGGCUCAGGUCAUGAUCUCACGGUUCGUGAGUUCGAGUCCCACGUCAGGCU